GGUAAGGUGGCUGAUAAUAGGUGAUAGGUUGUAAAUCUGUUGAUGGGGUGUGCCCUCUUGCUA
rnacentral:tRNA from 1 species